ACUGACGAUCCGUGUAAGUCGCUCUGGAUAAGAGUGUCUGCUAAAUGACGUAAA
rfam:Salmo salar isolate Sally breed double haploid chromosome ssa09, whole genome shotgun sequence.